rnacentral:rRNA from 1 species
AUUGAACGCUGGCGGCAGGCCUAACACAUGCAAGUCGAGCGAGAGGCGGACGGGUGAGUAAUAUGUGGGGGAUGCCCCAUAGAGGGGGGUAACUACUGGCAACGGUAGAUAAUACCGCAUACUAUAGUAUAGCCCAUAUGGGAUUAGCUCGUAGUUGGGGUAAUGGCUCACCUAGGGGACGAUCCCUAGCUGGUCUGAGAGGAUGAUCAGCCACACUGGGACUGAGACACGGCCCAGACUCCUACGGAGGCAGCAGUGGGGAAUAUUGCACAAUGGGCGCAAGCCUGAUGCAGCCAUGCCGCGUGUAUGAAGAAGGCCCUAGGGUUGUAAAGUACUUUCAGCCGGGAGGCGUUACCGACAGAAGAAGCACCGGCUAACUCCGUGCCAGCAGCCGCGGUAAUUC